UACGGAGAGUGCAAGCAUUAAUCGGAAUUAUUGGGCGUAAAGGGCGCGUAGGCGGAUUGGUAAGUCAGAUGUGAAAUUCCGAAGCUCAACUUCGGAGCUGCAUUUGAAACUACCAAUCUAUUGAGGGUUGACGGAGAAAACGGAAUUCCACGUGUAGCGGUGAAAUGCGUAGAUAUGUGGAAGAACACCGGUGGCGAAAGCGGUUUUCUAGUUGAUACCUGACGCUGAGGCGCGAGAGCAAGGGGAGCAAACAGG
rnacentral:rRNA from 1 species